AAGUCGUAACAAGGUUUCCGUAGGUGAACCUGCGGAAGGAUCAUUAACACGUUUCCAAACGUCAACCAACCGUGAACCGUUCCCGAAUCUGGGCGUGCAUACCAAAAAGCCGCUCAGGAACAGAUGUGAUGGAUGACGCUGCAAAGUGUCAUGUCUGUUCCUGGCUAUCAGGUCAUACUGUAAGGCGAAGUGUACGUUCAGUCUUAAUCCCCAUCACCGAAUAACUAAUUCACCCUUUUCAACCAUCCUGUCUGAUCAAUUCGAAUGAAGAAAUUCAUUUGAAUAUCUAUUAAACUAAGUACAACUCUUAGCAAUGGAUAUCUUGGUUCUC
rnacentral:misc_RNA from 1 species